GUAGGGAAUAUUGGGCAAUGGAUGCAAGUCUGACCCAGCCAUCCCGCGUGCCGGAAGAAGGCCCUCAGGGUUGUAAACGGCUUUUGACGGUGAAGAAUCGACAGGAUGCGUCCUGUUUUGACGGUAGCCGUUGAAUAAGCACCGGCUAACUCCGUGCCAGCAGCCGCGGUAAUACGGAGGGUGCGAGCGUUGUCCGGAUUUAUUGGGUUUAAAGGGUGCGUCGGUUGGAAGGUCAGUCAGCGGUGAAAAGCUAUCGCUUAACGAUAGUCUUGCCGCAGAUACUUCCUUUCUUGGAUGAGGAGGAGGCCACUGGAACGGAUGGUGUAGCGGUGAAAUGCAUAGAUAUCAUCCAGAACACCGAUUGCGAAGGCAGGUGGCUGUACCUUAAUCGACGCUGAUGCACGAAAGCAUGGGGAGCAAACAGGAUUAGAAACCCGGGUAGUCC
rnacentral:rRNA from 1 species